rnacentral:lncRNA from 1 species
UAUCAUAAGGGACCUAGUCUAACGAUCAUCAUCGGGAUGGACUCUACUGCUAAGGGGAUUCCUUAACAAUAAAUGUCCUAAAGGCAACCAUGUGGGGGAUGGAGUACACCGGUGAACACAUCGUUCACAAACACCUACAGGUUGCGAGCCUGCUAGUGUUCCACUGGACUGUCUAGAAGAGUCCAUGGUCGUCAUCCAUACUCCGCUAGAUGACAGAAUCAACAACAUCAACAUCGAGGCCUCUCAUCAUUUUAUCACACAUCACCUAUUACAUCUACCCAUGUUUUACCCCAACAUUUUUGUAGAUAUAAAAUACAUAUACAAUUUAAAUCAUUGAAAACAUGUAUAACAAUGUUCAUCCCGCAUAGAUAGCAAGUAUUCAGAUAAUAUGCACACAUAGCACGUAAUUUAUAUAAAAUACUUCAUAUCUAUGUGUAAGCUGAAAGUAACUAUGCACUCACCUGGUAAGGUGGUGACUCGGCGCUCGGACAUCUCUUCGUUACUUCUUAAAACAAUUUUUCCUUGACCAAACCUUGUAUUAAUACCACUAGAGUUUAGUUUUAACGUUAAUCGCGACUAAUUAAUAGUCUAGCUAUUAUUACUAUUAUAUAAGCGUUAAAUAACACUCAAUAUAACUCAUAAUAAUAGCCCAAAUAAUUAUUUUAAGGUCCUAAUAAUGUUACUAUAAUUAAAUAAAAGCUAUAUUAAAUAUAGUAUAGGCGUAACUCACUUACAACGGGUUUUUAUUAAAAACCGGGCUUCGCUGGAGCAGCGUUUCCGAGCCGAAAGCUUUUCUUCUCGGAGCCGUCGGGCGCUCCGGGGCUUUCUUCUCGUGAUAGGGAGGUUCCCUAGACUUGGGAGGGGUUUAGGGAGGUUAGAGAGAAGUUAGAGAGAGAAAGAAAGGUUUGAAGGUGUGAGGAAAUAAUGAAGAGUUCAUCUCUUAUUUAUAAGAAGUGUAUACUAAAGUAGUCUCCAAGCUUUGUCCGUAACUUUUGCAUACUAGCUCCAUUUAUUUCUGUCUUUUUACCAUUGAGUUCCUAUUAAUGAGAUCUUCAACUUUCAUUUAGACCUCGUUAGCUAAUUCUCAUUCUAUCUCGGAUUUACAAAACCGUAUCGAAUUCGCCGCGCUCGAAAAGUAGAGACUAAGCUUCGUUCAUAAAUUUCGCAUACGAUCUCUGUUUUUGUCAGUUUUUUACUGUUGAGUUCCUAUUAAUGAGAUCUUCAAUUCUCAUUUAGACAUCGUUGGCUAAUUCUCAUUCUAUCUCGGAUUUACAAAACUGUAUCAAAUUCGUCGCGCUUGAAAAGUAGGGACUAACCUUCGUCCAUAUCUUUCGCAUACGAGCUCUAUUAUCAAGGUUCUUUAUAUCCACGUGUUGGUAUUUACGAGUACUACAACUUUCAUUUAGAUUUCGUCGGCUAAAAAUCGACCGAUCUAAAAUUCAGAUUUCAGGCUGUGCACUGCUUUGCUAAAUCUUAGAAAAAUCAUAACUUCCUCAUACGAAGUCAGAUUUGGGUGUUCUUUUUAUCGAUGUUCUUAGUUUAACAUAUUCUACGACUUUUGUUUAGAGCACUAAGGCUAAAUCUCGCUCUAUCGUAAAUUCACUAUUUGCGCUUCCCGGUAUUGUGUCGGUUCUGUCGCGAAACUUCGACGGGUCAUAACUUCUUCGUUAUAACUUGGAUUUUGGCGUUCCUUAUAUCCCCAGAAUCCUUGUUGUUACCACUACAACUUUAUGUAGAGAUAUAGGGUUUAUCUCACACUUUAAUUUUAACGCUUAUUUUUAUUCUUUAUUAACUAUACGUUUAUAAUUAAAUAAUAAGCACAAUAACACAUAAUUCACAUAAUACUCAAAUAUUUCAUCUUUAUUACUUCAUAAAGAGUUACAAUAGUUGACCUAGAGUAUUACAUUGACAAAUAUGCUUAGCCCUAAAACCCGGACAUUACAAUUCUCUCCCCCUUAGGAUGAUUCCGUCCCGGAAUCAUGCAUCAACAAACGUAUGUGGAUAGCGACUCAUCAUGUCAUCCUCUGUUUUCCAAGUGAGAUUCGGCCAAUUCGAAUGUUUCUCGGACUAGCNUCGACCAUCUUGCAUCGUAAAUUCUUAGUCUUACGGUCAACAAUUGCCUCAGGCUCUUCGAUCAGCCUUUUAUUUUCAUCCAUCCUUAACUAUGAUAUUGGAAUUAUGUCGGGAACAUCUCCCGCGAAUUUCCUCAAACAACACACAUGGAAGGUAUUAUGAAUACCAUUGAGUUCUUCGGGCAAUUCCAGCUUGUAAGCUUGGUUCCCAAUCUUUUGAAGAACUUUGAACAGUCCAAUAGACCUUGGACUCAAUUUUCCUCGUUUCCCAAACCGUAUAAGUCCUUUCCAUGGUGAGACUUUUAGCAAAACCGAAUCCCCAACUUCGAAGGUUAUUUGUCGUCUUUUCUUAUCAGCAUGGCUCUUCUGACGAUCCUUGGCUGCUAACAUCCUUUCCCUAAUCACUUUCAACUUCUCAGCAAUCUCAUGGACUAUCUCGGGGCCUAUAAACUGCUUCUCUCCGGCUUCAAGCCAACAAGACGGCGUACAAAACUUUGUCCAUACAAGGCUUGAUAAGGUGGCAUCUUGAUGCUCGAGUGGAAACUGUAGUUGUAGAAAAUUCUACCAGAGGUAAGUGCCCAUCCCAAUUCCCUUGGAACUCGAGGGUACAUGCUCUCAGCAUACCUUACAGUGUUUGAAUCGUUCUUUUGCUCUGACCAUCAGUCUACGGAUGGUAAUCAGUACUCAAACACAACUUUGUACCCAACUCCUCUUGUAGACUCCUCCAAAACCUUGAUGUGAAACGACUAUCACGAUCUGAUACAAUUGUAAGAGGAACACCGUGAAGUCUUACAAUUUCCUUUACGUAAGCAUUUGUGAGCUUACCCAUAGACCACUUCUCGUUGGUUGCUAUGAAGUGUGCACUCUUCGUGAAACGAUCCAUGACCACCCAAAUCAUGUCGUGACCGCUCUUUGUCCUGGGUAGUUUGGUCACAAAAUCCAUGGUGAUGUCUUCCCAUUUACCCAUGGGUACAUGUAAUGGUUCUAAACUCCCAUACGGUUUUUGAUGUUGUGCCUUAACCCUUGCACAUGUUACGCACUCGGCCACAUACUUUGCAAUAUUGAGCUUCAUUGCCGGCUACCAGUAGUAGGAUUUUAGGUCCCUAUACAUUUUAGUGCUACCGGGAUGAAUUGACUACAUGGUCUUAUGUGCUUCUUCCAUCAGAAGGUCUCUUAUUCCUCCCGUCUUAGGUACCCAAAUUUAAUCUUGGAAUACCUUCAAUCCUCGACUGUUUGUACCGAACACUAACGUUCUUCCCAAACAUUAUUCCUUUCGGUCAUUCUUCUCUAAUGCUUCUUCCUAAGCUUUCCUGAUACUUUCCACAAUCGUCGAGACGACUUCAAUUCUCAAUGCUCUUGGCCUUUUCCUUUCAAGAUUGACUUUCCGACUGAGAGCAUCAGCAACAACAUUUGCUUUACGUGGGUGGUAAAGUAUCUCACAGUCGUAGUCCUUGAGUAGUUCUACCCAGCGUCAUUGCCUCAUGUUCAAUUCUUUCUUAAUAAAGAGAUACUGGAGACUCUUAUGAUCAGUGAACAACUUGCACUUUGUGUCGUAGAGGUAAUGCCUCCAUAUCUUUAGAGCGAAAACUACCGUUGCCAACUCCAAAUCCUGAGUGGGGUAGUUCUUUUCGUGCUCUUUCAAUUGUUGAGAUGCAUAUGCUAUCACCUUUUCUCUUUGGGUCAGAACACAACCCAAACCGACUCCAGAAGCGUCACUAUAAACCGCGAAAUCUUCAACUCCAUCGGGUGGAGAAAGUAUAAGUGCUUCACAUCACUUCUUCUUUAGCUUCUCGAAUGCCUCAUUGUGCUUUUCACUCCAUGUAUACGUAGCUCUUUAUGGGUCAAAGCUGUUAACAGAGCAGCUAUCGGAGAAAAGCCUUGGAUAAAUCAUCGAUAAUAUCCGGCUAAUCCUAGAAAGCUUCGAAUUUCCGUGGGACUUUUCGGACAUUCCCACUUCAUCACAGCCUCGAUCUUUGUGGGGUCCACCAUUAUUCCCUUCUGGUUAACAAGAUGACCCAAGAAUUGAACAUCUCGGAUCCAAAAAUCACGCUUGGAGAACUUUGCAAAAAGCUUCUCCUUCUUUAACACUUCUAAUACUUCCCGUAGAUGCUUGGCAUGCUCUUCUUGGCUUUUCGAGUAGAUGAGAAUGUCGUCGAUGAACACUAUCACGGAUUUAUCGAGGAAUGGUUACAAACCCUGUUCAUCAAAUCCAUGAAUGCUGUAGGAGAAUUGGUUAGUCCAAAUGACAUAACCAAGAACUCAUGGUGUCCAUAUCUUGUUCUGAAUGUAGUCUUCUCAAUAUCCUGCUCUCUCACCUUUAGCUGAUGAUAUCCUGACCUAAGAUCGAUCUUUGAGAAGUAGCUCGAACCUUGCAGUUGAUCGAAUAGGUCAUCAAUCCUCGGCAAUGGAUACUUGUUCUUCACCGUUGCCUUAUUCAGCUCUCGGUAGUCUAUAUACAUUCUCAUACUUCCAUCCUUUUUCUUCACAAAUAACACCAGAGCUCANGGUGAUGAACUAGGUCGAAUGAAACCGUUGUCCAACAGCUCCUGAAGUUGCGUCAUAAGCUCCAUCAUCUCCGUCGGUGCUAAUCGGUAUGGUGCUUUUGCUAUAUAUUGGUGUCGUUCCUGGUAACAAGUAUAUACGAAACUCCACUUGCCUAUCAGGUGGUAAUCCGGGAAGAUCUUCGGGAAAGACUUCCGGAUAAUCACACACAACCGUUAUAUUCUGCACCUCUUUCUUCUCCUUCUUAGCAUCGAUUACGAAUGCCAAGUACGAUGCACAUCCUUUGGACAAACAUUUCCUGGCUUUCAUUAGGGCUAUGAUUCCAUAAUUCACUCUACGCUUGUCCCCGUACACCAUAAAUGAUUCUUUUCCGGGUGGGUUCACCCUUACUAUCUUCUUUUGGCAUUGAACCUCAGCAUCGUUGGCACUACGCCAAUCCAUACCCAAAACGAUGUCGAAACCGUUUUAACUCUAUGGGUAAUAGCUCUUCGUGGAAUUCGUUUCCGUUUAUGUCAAUGACGAUGUUCCUAAUACGAUUACUCAGGUACGAAUUUGCCACUGGCACCUUCUACAAUCAGGGUAUUAUCUAGUUUCUCUACAGGCAAUGCUAAUUUCCCACCAAAUUUAUGCGGCACAAAGGAGUAGUUGGCUCCGGAAUCAAAUAGUAUAUUUGCAGGCAAACCAUUUACAAGAAAGGUACCUGAAGCGACGUCUGCUGCCUCCUUCGCAGCCUGGAGCGUCAUCUGGAAGGCUCUCGCCUUCGGCUUUGGUGGUAUGUUGGGUCUUCAUGCCUCCUUCUUCGGGCAAUCCUUUGAAAUGUGCCCCUCCUCGUUGCACUCAUAACAGACCUUCUUAGUGAACAUGCAUUUGUUGGCAUAGUGCCCAGGCUUUCCACAUUUGAAACAAGUGACCCCUCCGCCACACUUCCCAGAGUGCUUCUUCUUACAAUUGUCACACCACUUCGAUUAUGAUCCUCCUCCUCUCGAACCAAACUUGGAGAAUCUACCCUUCUUACCGGACCUCGAGGAUCCGUCAUAUUUUGUUUUCUCUCCCACCUCCACUCUCUCCAAACCCCUCUCUCAUAUUUGGGUCUCCACAUUCUUAGCAGCCCAGAUGGUGGCUUUCAGAGUGGUAGUUUGCUUGACCAUUGGACCAAAUUCUGCUGGUAAUUCGAGGGCAAAUUUGUUAACCUUGGAGAGUUCAGUUGGAACGAGGUGAGGAACAAGCUUCAUUUUCUCAGUAAAGCUUACAGCGUAUUCAGUAACGCUCAUUCUUCCCUUCUUCAGAUUCUGGAAUUCGUUGUUGAUCUCCAAAAGAUCCUGCUCAGAGUAGUAUUGCAUCUUCAACUAUACCAGAAAAUCCUCCCACGACAUCUUUCUUGCUUCACCUUUGGGCAUUGAAUCAACUAGUAGCUUCCACCAGCUUAGUACUCCAGAUUUCAACAGAGGAACCGCGAGAGCGGUCUUCUGCCUGUUGAUACACUCGCAACUCUCAAACAUCGUCUCCAUUUCAGAGAUCCAGUUCAUGACUUCCACCGGUGUCGGGCUUCUAGAUAGACUCGGUGGCUUGGAUGCCAUGAAAUCUUUGUAUUUUCAUCCACAUCCAUCAUUUCCUCCAUCCUGGUGGUUUUGCCUAACUAUCGGUGGGUUGGCUUGACCAACAGUCCCACUGUAGUUUCCCUCCUCAGUAUGCCCUUCGUUCAACUCGGGCUGUUCGAUCUGAAUAGUCUCUUCCUCUCGAUUUUGCUGGAGCAAACGUCUGGUUUCCUCCAUUUGACGAUCCAACAUUGCCUGGAUCAUUGCUUGCACUCCGGCUAUCGUGACUCGCUCAGGUGCAACUUCUUCAACAACAGGUAUUUGCUGAACCACUGGGGGUUGGUUCUUAUCUCCAUUUGCAUUCACGUUUCCACUAUGGGUCCUUGCCAUCUCNUAGAUCCUCAUUCACGAUAGAUAAUUAAAUUAUCCAAAUAACUCUGAAACGUUUACAUGCUAGUUCUAAUACCAUAGUCCUACGCUUAGAACCUUAAACACAUAAGGUUUCCGGAUUCGGUUGGCAACAAACCAUAGAUCGGAACAAAUAAUAUCAUAUAUGGCAAACAUUUAACAUUUAGUACAUAAGAGCAUUUUAGGCAACUUUCCUAAAAUAAACAAGUGCUCGUGUCUUAAAUAUAACAGACACUUAUAUCACAUUCUUCACUUAGCAUCCUAAGUUUAAGUCUAGAAAUCCUACAAAUUCCUAGUUCGCUUAAAUUAAUGCACUGAUACCAACUGUGACAUCUCCAUUUUCACGGCUAGAAAAAGACCAAUUUUGUUUAUGCUUUGUUUGAAAAUCAGAGUAACAUUUAAAAUAAAAGUGUUGUGGAAUUAGUUCCAAAACAAAAUAUGAUAAAGAUUUAUCAAAAGCAUUUCUAUAGAAAUGUAUUUAAUUAAAAGACUCUGAAUGUCAUGUUCGUACAGAUCAAAAGCAUAAACAGUACAAUAUAAGCCUUACUACAUUAUGUCAUAUCUACAGGCCUAUAUCCGUAAUCCCUCGUCCAAACAUCAUAUCUAUGCUCAAGCGCCACUACCUGUAAUACAUAAACGUGAGUGGGUCAGGCUUGGGAGCCUGGUGAGCACAUACGGUUUUCAACCCACAAUAAAUAAGUUUAUUAAUUUCAUCAAUCAACAAUAACCCGAUUACCCGUUCCCGUUAUCCUCACUUUACGUCCCUAAACACCUAUCAUAAGGGACCUAGCCUAAGGAUCAUCAUCGGGACGGACACUACUGCUAAGGGGAUUCCUCAACAAUAAAUGUCCUAAAGGCAACCAUGUGGGGGAUGGAGUACACCGGUGAACACAUCGUUCACAAACACCUACAGGUUGCGAGCCUGCUAGUGUUCCACUGGACUGUCUAGAAGAGUCUGUGGUCGUCAUCCAUACUCCGCUAGAUGACAGAAUCAACAACAUCAACAUCGAGGCCUCUCAUCAUUUUAUCACACAUCACCUAUUACAUCUACCCAUGUUUUACCCCAACAUUUUCGUAGAUAUAAAAUACAUAUACAGUUUAAAUCAUUGAAAACAUGUAUAACAAUGUUCAUCUAGCAUAGAUAGCAAGUAUUCAGAUAAUAUGCACACAUAGCACGUAAUUUAUAUAAAAUACUUCAUAUCUAUGUGUAAGUUGAAAGUAACUAUGCACUCACCUGGUAAGGUGGUGACUCGGCACUCGGACAGCUCUUCAUUACUUCUUAAAACAAUUUUUUCCUCGACCAAAACCUAGUAUUAAUACCACUAGAGUUUAGUUUUAACGUUAAUUGUGACUAAUUAAUAGUCUUACUAUUAUUACUAUUAUAUAAGCGUUAAAUAACACUCAAUAUAACUCAUAAUAAUAGCCCAAAUAAUUAUUUUAAGGUCCUAAUAAUGUUACUAUAAUUAAAUAAAAGCUAUAUUAAAUACAGUAUAGGUGUAACUCACUUACAACGGGUUUUUAUUAAAAACCGGGCUUCGCGGGAGCAGCGUUUCCGAGCCGAAAGCUUUUCUUCUCGGAGCCGUCGGGCGCUCCGGGGCUUUCUUCUCGUGAUAGGGAGGUUCCCUAGACUUGGGAGG